rnacentral:misc_RNA from 1 species
UUUCCGUAGGUGAACCUGCGGAAGGAUCAUUAUUGAAUGAAACACUUCUGGCUUUAUGCUGUUGUGCUGGCCCUUUGGGCAAUGUGCACACGGCUCUGGUCACUUGUUUCUUCUGUUCCACCUGUGCACUGCCUGUAGACACGCUGUGUCUAUGAUAUUUGUUAACACACAACAAUGUUAGUUGGCAUGUUACAUAUAAUAAUAAAAUAUACAACUUUCAACAACGGAUCUCUUGGCUCUCGCAUCGAUGAGAACGCAGC